AUUCGAAGAAUAGGAUUGUGAAAUAGGUAUGUGAUUUGAUCAUAAUCUGAAUUUCAGCAUAUAUCAAUUUCAGCAUAUGAGAUAGAUCCAUAUGAUUUUAUAUUUUUAUGCAUGCAUAAUUUAGAUUAAAAGUAUUUUAAUCUUAUUCUUCGCUGCAAUAUUUAGAAAAUAAAAUUUUUGAAACACAUAUGUAUGAAUCAAACCCCGAAUUCCAACAUAACAAACCACCCC
rnacentral:lncRNA from 1 species